rnacentral:misc_RNA from 1 species
GGAAGGAUCAUUAACACUAAUCCAAACAACUAAACAAAGCCUUCAGUUGCAGCAGUGUGUGUGCUGGCGAAAGCUUGGCAUGCCACAGUUGCAGCAUCAACAAACUAAUUCACGCAAAGGAGUCUAACUAAGCUCAAACAAAAAACCAAAUUCUCAACGAUGGAUAUCUUGGUUCCCAUAACGAUGAAGAACGCAGCGAAGUGCGAUAAGCAAUGCGAAUUGCAGAACCGUGAGUCAUCAGAUUUUUGAACGCAACUGGCGCCGGCUGGUCCUCCAGUCGGCAUGCUUGUUUCAGUGUCUUUUUUUCUCCUCACCCAAACCUUAAUGCGAGAGAUACCCUUCUCUUGCCAAACAGGAAAGCACUCUGCGCUCUGCAGGCAGCUUUUAGACUCGUUCUUUAAGCUGCGCUCAAUGCUGUCGUCACAUUUUUACAAGUGUGAACUCAUUGUGAGUAGAGGCAUGUAGCUUCGGCUACCAGUGCUUAGUCACUUAAACUUUCUUUGCAUCUGAAAUCAAGCAGGAGUACCCGCUGAACUUAAGCAUAUCACUAAGCGGAGGAAAAGAAAUUAACUAAGAUUGCCUCAGUAACGGCGAGUGAAGCGGCAAGAGCCCAAACUGGAAAUCUUCACCCUUCGGGUGACGAAUUGUAAUCUAAAGAUGGUUCGCUCAACUGGUUGUGGCGCAGAAGUGCCUUAGAACGGGCCGCCAAAGAGGGUGACAGCCCCGUAUGUGGUGCCACGACCUAACGAGCGGAUUUUCAAAGAGUCGGGUUGUUUUGAAUUGCAGCCCUAAGUGGGAGAUAAACUUCUUCUAAGGCUAAAUACCUAUGGGAAACCGAUAGCGAACAAGUACUGUGAAGGAAAGAUGAAAAGAACUUUGAAAAGAGAGUCAAAAGACUUGAAAUCGUUGAGAAGGAAGCGGUAGAAAUUUAUUCUUCGGCGGCGUACGGUGGUGGUUGCCAAACCAUUGUGGGCUUCGAGCACGUCAAAGGCUCUGGCUUGCACUUGGGGAAGCGACCGCUUUGUUCGCCGUCGUGAGGCAAAAUGAGGUCGCAUUCCCGCAGAGGCUUCUUAGACCUGGCCCGAUUCGUUGGGCAGUCUAGGUGUGUCGGUGGGCGUGCGGCCUGAGGGUGCUUUUGCGAUUUUGCCAAAAUGGUUUUUACCGACCCGUCUUGAAACACGGACCAAGGAGUCUAACAGAUAUGCGAGUGUGCUGGUGGAGAAACCAACACGCGUAAUGAAGGUGAGUGAUGCCAAGCGCAAGCAGCAGCAUCGACCGACCAUGAUCAUUUUGAGAAAGGUUUGAGUAAGAGCAUAUCUGCUAGGACCCGAAAGAUGGUGAACUAUGCCUGAGUAGGGUGAAGCCAGGGGAAACUCUGGUGGAGGCUCGUAGCGGUACUGACGUGCAAAUCGUUCGUCAAACUUGGGUAUAGGGGCGAAAGACUAAUCGAACCAUCUAGUAGCUGGUUCCCUC